rnacentral:rRNA from 1 species
AUUGAACGCUGGCGGAAUGCUUUACACAUGCAUGUCGAACGGUAGAGGGGGCAACCCCUCGAGAGUGGCGAACGGGUGAGUAAUAUAUCGGAACGUGCCCAGUCGUGGGGGAUAACGUAGCGAAAGUUACGCUAAUACCGCAUACGAUCUAAGGAUGAAAGCGGGGGACUCGCAAGAGCCUCGCGCGAUUGGAGCGGCCGAUAUCAGAUUAGGUAGUUGGUGGGGUAAAGGCUCACCAAGCCAACGAUCUGUAGCUGGUCUGAGAGGACGACCAGCCACACUGGAACUGAGACACGGUCCAGACUCCUACGGGAGGCAGCAGUGGGGAAUUUUGGACAAUGGACGCAGGUCUGAUCCAGCCAUUCCGCGUGCAGGAUGAAGGCCCUCGGGUUGUAAACUGCUUUUGUACGGAACGAAAAGGUUUCUAUUAAUACUAGGAGCUCAUGACGGUACCGUAAGAAUAAGCACCGGCUAACUACGUGCCAGCCGCCGCCGUAA